rnacentral:rRNA from 1 species
UUUGGUUAAGUUAGAAAGGGCGCACGGUGGAUGCCUUGACACUAGGAGUCGAUGAAGGACGGGACUAACGCCGAUAUGCUUCGGGGAGCUGUAAGUAAGCUUUGAUCCGAAGAUUUCCGAAUGGGGAAACCCACCAUACGUAAUGGUAUGGUAUCCUUAUCUGAAUACAUAGGGUAAGGAAGACAGACCCAGGGAACUGAAACAUCUAAGUACCUGGAGGAAGAGAAAGCAAAUGCGAUUUCCUGAGUAGCGGCGAGCGAAACGGAACAUAGCCCAAACCAAGAGGCUUGCCUCUUGGGGUUGUAGGACAUUCUAUACGGAGUUACAAAGGAACGAGGUAGACGAAGCGACCUGGAAAGGUCCGUCGUAGAGGGUAACAACCCCGUAGUCGAAACUUCGUUCUCUCUUGAAUGUAUCCUGAGUACGGCGGAACACGUGAAAUUCCGUCGGAAUCUGGGAGGACCAUCUCCCAAGGCUAAAUACUCCCUAGUGAUCGAUAGUGAACCAGUACCGUGAGGGAAAGGUGAAAAGCACCCCGGAAGGGGAGUGAAAGAGAUCCUGAAACCGUGUGCCUACAAAUAGUCAGAGCCCGUUAACGGGUGAUGGCGUGCCUUUUGUAGAAUGAACCGGCGAGUUACGAUCCCGUGCGAGGUUAAGCUGAAGAGGCGGAGCCGCAGCGAAAGCGAGUCUGAAUAGGGCGUUUAGUACGUGGUCGUAGACCCGAAACCAGGUGAUCUACCCAUGUCCAGGGUGAAGUUCAGGUAACACUGAAUGGAGGCCCGAACCCACGCACGUUGAAAAGUGCGGGGAUGAGGUGUGGGUAGCGGAGAAAUUCCAAUCGAACCUGGAGAUAGCUGGUUCUCCCCGAAAUAGCUUUAGGGCUAGCCUUAAGUGUAAGAGUCUUGGAGGUAGAGCACUGAUUGGACUAGGGGUCCUCAUCGGAUUACCGAAUUCAGUCAAACUCCGAAUGCCAAUGACUUAUCCUUAGGAGUCAGACUGCGAGUGAUAAGAUCCGUAGUCAAAAGGGAAACAGCCCAGACCGCCAGCUAAGGUCCCAAAGUGUGUAUUAAGUGGAAAAGGAUGUGGAGUUGCUUAGACAACUAGGAUGUUGGCUUAGAAGCAGCCACCAUUUAAAGAGUGCGUAAUAGCUCACUAGUCGAGUGACUCUGCGCCGAAAAUGUACCGGGGCUAAAUACACCACCGAAGCUGCGGAUUGAUACCAAUGGUAUCAGUGGUAGGGGAGCGUUCUAAGGACAGUGAAGUCAGACCGUAAGGACUGGUGGAGUGCUUAGAAGUGAGAAUGCCGGUAUGAGUAGCGAAAGACGGGUGAGAAUCCCGUCCACCGAAUGCCUAAGGUUUCCUGAGGAAGGCUCGUCCGCUCAGGGUUAGUCAGGACCUAAGCCGAGGCCGACAGGCGUAGGCGAUGGACAACAGGUUGAUAUUCCUGUACUACCUCUUUAUCGUUUGAGCAAUGGAGGGACGCAGAAGGAUAGAAGAAGCGUGCGAUUGGUUGUGCACGUCCAAGCAGUUAGGCUGAUAAGUAGGCAAAUCCGCUUAUCGUGAAGGCUGAGCUGUGAUGGGGAAGCUCCUUAUGGAGCGAAGUCUUUGAUUCCCCGCUGCCAAGAAAAGCUUCUAGCGAGAUAAAAGGUGCCUGUACCGCAAACCGACACAGGUAGGCGAGGAGAGAAUCCUAAGGUGUGCGAGAGAACUCUGGUUAAGGAACUCGGCAAAAUGACCCCGUAACUUCGGGAGAAGGGGUGCUUUCUUAACGGAAAGCCGCAGUGAAUAGGCCCAAGCGACUGUUUAGCAAAAACACAGCUCUCUGCGAAGCCGUAAGGCGAAGUAUAGGGGGUGACACCUGCCCGGUGCUGGAAGGUUAAGGAGAGGGGUUAGCGUAAGCGAAGCUCUGAACUGAAGCCCCAGUAAACGGCGGCCGUAACUAUAACGGUCCUAAGGUAGCGAAAUUCCUUGUCGGGUAAGUUCCGACCCGCACGAAAGGUGUAACGAUUUGGGCACUGUCUCAACCAGAGACUCGGUGAAAUUAUAGUACCUGUGAAGAUGCAGGUUACCCGCGACAGGACGGAAAGACCCCGUGGAGCUUUACUGUAGCCUGAUAUUGAAUUUUGGUACAGUUUGUACAGGAUAGGCGGGAGCCAUUGAAACCGGAGCGCUAGCUUCGGUGGAGGCGCUGGUGGGAUACCGCCCUGACUGUAUUGAAAUUCUAACCUACGGGUCUUAUCGACCCGGGAGACAGUGUCAGGUGGGCAGUUUGACUGGGGCGGUCGCCUCCUAAAGUGUAACGGAGGCGCCCAAAGGUUCCCUCAGAAUGGUUGGAAAUCAUUCGUAGAGUGCAAAGGCAUAAGGGAGCUUGACUGCGAGACCUACAAGUCGAGCAGGGACGAAAGUCGGGCUUAGUGAUCCGGUGGUUCCGCAUGGAAGGGCCAUCGCUCAACGGAUAAAAGCUACCCCGGGGAUAACAGGCUUAUCUCCCCCAAGAGUCCACAUCGACGGGGAGGUUUGGCACCUCGAUGUCGGCUCAUCGCAUCCUGGGGCUGUAGUCGGUCCCAAGGGUUGGGCUGUUCGCCCAUUAAAGCGGUACGCGAGCUGGGUUCAGAACGUCGUGAGACAGUUCGGUCCCUAUCCGUCGUGGGCGUAGGAAAUUUGAGAGGAGCUGUCCUUAGUACGAGAGGACCGGGAUGGACGCACCGCUGGUGUACCAGUUGUUCUGCCAAGGGCAUAGCUGGGUAGCUAUGUGCGGAAGGGAUAAGUGCUGAAAGCAUCUAAGCAUGAAGCCCCCCUCAAGAUGAGAUUUCCCAUAGCGUAAGCUAGUAAGAUCCCUGAAAGAUGAUCAGGUUGAUAGGUUCGAGGUGGAAGCAUGGUGACAUGUGGAGCUGACGAAUACUAAUAGAUCGAGGACUUAACCAUAUAA